rnacentral:rRNA from 1 species
GGCCAGGCGCGUGCUAUACAUGCAGUCGAGCGGACUUUAAAAGCUUGCUUUUAAAGUUAGCGGCGGACGGGUGAGUAACACGUGGGCAACCUGCCUGUAAGACUGGGAUAACUUCGGGAAACCGGAGCUAAUACCGGAUAAUCCUUUUCCUCUCAUGAGGAAAAGCUGAAAGACGGCAUCUCGCUGUCACUUACAGAUGGGCCCGCGGCGCAUUAGCUAGUUGGUGAGGUAACGGCUCACCAAGGCAACGAUGCGUAGCCAACCUGAGAGGGUGAUCGGCCACACUGGGACUGAAACACGGCCCAAACUCCUACGGGAGGCAGCAGUAGGGAAUCUUCCGCAAUGGACGAAAGUCUGACGGAGCAACGCCGCGUGAGUGAUGAAGGUUUUCGGAUCGUAAAGCUCUGUUGUUAGGGAAAAACAAGUACAAAAGUAACUGCUUGUACCUUGACGGUACCUAACCAGAAAGCCACGGCUAACUACGUGCCAGCAGCCGCGGUAAU